UAAGGGAACCAGAAAAUCCCAUGGAUACAUACGCUGUGAAGGUGCUUACAGCGGAUGGGCUUUCGCUGGGACAUAUUCCAAAAGAGCUUUCGCGUUAUUUGUCUCCUCUCAUGGACAAAGGCGUGGUAGACGUUCAGGGAUAUGUCUCCGAGAGUACAUCGGAAGCUGCA